AACGAACGCUGGCGGCGCGUCUUAAGCAUGCAAGUCGAACGGCAAGAGAGGAGCUUGCUUCUCUCCUAGAGUGGCGGACUGGUGAGGAACACGUGGGUAAUCUACCCUUAAGAUGGGGAUAGCUGCUAGAAAUAGCAGGUAAUACCGAAUACACUCGGCAUAUCACAAGAGGUGUUGAGGAAAGGAAGCUACGGCUUCGCUUGAGGAUGAGCUUGCGUCCCAUUAGCUAGUUGGUGAGGUAAAGGCCCACCAAGGCGACGAUGGGUAUCCGGCCUGAGAGGGUGAACGGACACAUUGGGACUGAGAUACGGCCCAAACUCCUACGGGUGGCAGCAGCUAAGAAUAUUCCGCAAUGGACGGAAGUCUGACGGAGCGACGCCGCGUGGAUGAAGAAGGCUGAAAAGUUGUAAAAUCCUUUUGUUGAUGAAGAAUAAGGGUGAGAGGGAAUGCUCAUCUGAUGACGGUAAUCGACGAAUAAGCCCCGGCUAAUUACGU
rnacentral:rRNA from 1 species